rnacentral:rRNA from 1 species
CCUACGGGUGGCAGCAGUGAGGAAUAUUGGUCAAUGGACGAGAGUCUGAACCAGCCAAGUAGCGUGAAGGAUGACUGCCCUAUGGGUUGUAAACUUCUUUUAUAUGGGAAUAAAAUGUUCCACGUGUGGGAUUUUGUAUGUACCAUAUGAAUAAGGAUCGGCUAACUCCGUGCCAGCAGCCGCGGUAAUACGGAGGAUCCGAGCGUUAUCCGGCUUUAUUGGGUUGAAAGGGAGCGUAGGUGGAUUGUUAAGUCAGUUGUGAAAGUUUGCGGCUCAACCGUAAAAUUGCCGUUGAAACUGGCAGUCUUGAGUACAGUAGAGGUGGGCGGAAUUCGUGGUGUAGCGGUGAAAUGCUUAGAUAUCACGAAGAACUCCGAUUGCGAAGGCAGUUCACUGGACUGCAACUGACACGGAGGCUCGAAAGUGUGGGUAUCAAACAGGAGUAGAUACCCCAGUAGUC